AUUUUUUUUUUGGUGAAAGUGGGUGACCCGUGAUUUCUUCUUUCUUCUUCUUAACAUGGGUGACCAUAAGCAGUGGCGGCGAACCCUAAGGGCUUAACGGCGACUCCGGCGGAGCAAUACAAAUCGUCCUUGCAUGGGUAACAGAGCUUCCACUUUCAUUUUCACACGUUAGGUUACGGAACAGAGAAAAUUUUCGCAGAGCGUCUCUUUCCUGACAUGAAUAGAACACAAGCCUUGGAACGUCUUAUCGCAGCUGCAAAUGUUGAUCCUGCGAGGAUUCUGCAGCAAACUGUCUGCUAUGAUCGUUCGUAAUCUUUGACUUUCUCAGUUUCUUGGGGGUUCGCUAUCCAGGUUUAUCAAGGAAAUGUAGUUCUACCUGAUCUACUUGCCGGGAAAAAAAACUUUUGUGCCAUGGAGGAAAGUUCAUUCCAAUUUCAUGUUCGACACAAGAGACUAUCCUAGAGAUCCUUGCAAAAGGCCAUUGAUAUUUUUCUUGAAAAGUGUUAGAUCUGAUAAAAGUGGCAUUUGGAGCAAUUACAGUAGGCAUGUAGAAAAGAAGUGCUCUAAACCAAAUCCUACACAGCUGAAGGAGAUCAAGGUUUUUUCAAGAAAGCUGGAUCUUAGCAUUGAAGAGAUGAAAGCUCCUCAUCGUCAAUGCUGCAACGUUUUGCCAUAUUCAAAUGAAUCAAUCAGUAUACAUAUUAGACGGUGUGACAUCGAUCAGUAUAUCCAUGGAAACAUAGUAUUAUUUUCUGUGAGUUGCCACCCUUGAAAGCUUUGAAACUUUCACUAGCUUGAAUGCUUGAUGGAGUUUGGUCCGACGUUGAAUCUGGUAUAAGGUUGAAUGAUGCAUCUUCACGAAGGAUGAUCUCAGAACCUUGUUUCAAUAGGAUACUCAUUAAGAACUUGAACCUUUUUAUUGGUUUCAAAGAUGGAUGGAAUGUGUAAAAAAGAUUUCUUUCAACCUUCAUGGUUUGCAAUCAACUUUGACAUGUCAUUCGACAAGGGACACCUCCAUAGGACUGCAAGCAAUAUGACACUAAGUUUAUGUCCUGUUUGCGGUUAAGAAAGAUUGUAGAUCGAUUUGCCGAAGAAAAAUAUGUACUCAAAGAUAACUAUAGAUCAUGUUGGUGAUCAAUAACCUGAAAAUCGGUCAAUAACCUGUCACUGGUUGUGACUCACAUCUCGUCUGAGUUGUGUGGCUUGUUUCUUCGAUUCACUAUGUAGCUGCAUUUUUCAAAUGGCUUUUUGUCCUGCAGUUGUACAUAUUAUUAGUGUAUUCAUAUACACUUUUGAUUCACAAAGUUUCAUGGAAGCUCCAAUGUUUGGAGUGAGGUAACCUCUCAACCAAAGGACAAUUUUUACACUGGGUUGUGAUCCCAAAGAGGACCAUCAUGUCUGAACUCUCAAUGUAGGCUAUAAGCUAGUUGGAGAUUCAUUUUGUAAAUGUGUUAUAACUGUUUGCUUGUUGCAAAGGUGAUACUUUUUAUGCACAUGAGAUAUGAUUCCGAUUUAUAUCUUGUAAAGAAAGUCUGAGAAAUAUCUAAAAGUGGUUAGUUAAAAUUUUAAUGCAUGAGAUGUGAAUUAGGUUCUCAUUUGGUCA